rnacentral:rRNA from 1 species
GACGAACGCUGGCGGCACGCUUAAAACAUGCAAGUCGAACGUGAAGCCCGGGCUUGCCCGGGUGGAAAGUGGCGAACGGGUGCGUAACACGUGAGCAACCUGCCCCGAAGACUGGGAUAACACCGGGAAACCGGUGCUAAUACCGGAUGCCUUCACCAUGUCGCAUGGCGAGGUGAAGAAAUGGAUUCCGCUUCGGGAUGGGCUCGCGGCCUAUCAGCUUGUUGGUGGGGUAAUGGCCUACCAAGGCAACGACGGGUAGCUGGUCUGAGAGGAUGUCCAGCCACACUGGAACUGAGACACGGUCCAAACUCCUACGGGAGGCAGCAGUGGGGAAUAUUGCACAAUGGGCGAAAGACUGAUGCAGCAACGCCGCGUGAGCGAUGAAGGCCUUCGGGUCGUAAAGCUCUGUCCUCAAGGAAGAUAAUGACGGUACUUGAGGAGGAAGCCCCGGCUAACUACGUGCCAGCAGCAGCCGUAACAC